rnacentral:rRNA from 1 species
AGGGUCUUCGGACCUAGCGGCGGACGGGUGAGUAACACGUAGGCAACCUGCCUGUGAAGACUGGGAUAACAUAGGGAAACUUAUGCUAAUACCGGAUAGGGUUUUGCUUCGCCUGAAGCGAAACGGAAAGAUGGCGCAAGCUAUCACUUACAGAUGGGCCUGCGGCGCAUUAGCUAGUUGGUGAGGUAACGGCUCACCAAGGCGACGAUGCGUAGCCGACCUGAGAGGGUGACCGGCCACACUGGGACUGAGACACGGCCCAG